AUGGGCGCAGUAGAUCGAAGGGAGGAGAAGUGGAAAAAGGAGACCUUUGACUCCGGCGGGCUCCUGGGUGAGCUCCUCCACCUACCUCUUUGCGAUCCGCCAAGCAGCCGCCGCGCAAGGAGGGCGAGAAAGGAGGGCGCCCGGCCGCCGUGCCCCGCCGCUGCGCAAGGAGUACACACAUGGUCGUUGGACAGGAGCAGCGGAAGGAUCGACAAAAAAAAUGCAUGCUUCACGUUGGGGAACGAGGUGGGGAACGAGGCGGCGUGGCCGCGUGGGGCAUGGGGCGGGAAGGGUGGUGGCAGCGGGGGCGGCGUGGGACGGGAUGGGUGGUGGUGGAGAGGGGCGGCGGGGGCAGAAUUGGGCGGCAACACGGCGCCCGUCGUCGGGAAGGGUGGUGGUGGAGAGGGGCGGAGAGAGCGAGGAAGAAGAGGGACCUCAGGUUCGAUGUACAACAAUAGAAGGGAAAUGUGCAUGCAGACGAUCAUGUGUUUGACGAUCAUACUUCUAAGUCCUUACUAUAACAACAAGAAGUUAAUCAGCAUGAUGUACUUAUGUUGUUGUGAUCAAACAUGUUGUCAUGCUUUAAAUGCCAUGGUUGCGGGGGGAGGAAGCGUCUAUACUGCCAGUGCUACUUACAAUCUGCAGGCUGCAGAAGCUCCUGACCCAGGAAUCAAGGCGGCAAUAUGGAAGGUUUGGGCCCUCGAAACUGUCAAGAUUUUUGCAUGGUUGCUUCUCCAUGACAGGCUCUGGUGCAAUGAUCGCCUGCAACGGCGCGGCUGGCCAAACGGCUAUUUCUGCGCCCUCUGUCUCAGGAAUCUAGAAUGCUCCACGCACCUCUUCUGGGACUGCUCACUCGCGCGGUCGGUUUGGGAGAAAGCAUCCUCCUGGAGUGGGAAAGGUCUGAAGACGAUGAUGAUGAUGAUCACCUGGGAGCUAUGGAAGGAGAGGAAUGCAUGCGUUUUCAACAGAAAACUGCCCAGCGCCGACGAUGUGCUGCAUGCUAUCAGAAACACGAUCGAACUAUGGAGAAUGGCGGGUGCAAAAUGUCUAGAGCCCCCCUUCGGGGAACACAUAAAAUAG
rnacentral:rRNA from 1 species